rnacentral:lncRNA from 1 species
UCCAGAACAAGUAGCCUACCACUCACCAGCUCUCAAACAAAGACCUAAACCUUUGGAGGAAUUUGUGCUUUGCAAACCUGAGCUUCUACAAAUUAUCAUGAUCUCUAGCAGAAGAGAUAGCUUCCCUAAAAGACUAGACAGAAGAUUUUCCAUUUCAUUUGAUUUCCAAAUGAGAUGAUUAUUUUUAUAUCUAGAUCAAACAUCACCAUUUAGAAGGUUUGUCAUGUCAUUCCUAAGUUUCCAGUCAAAAGUUCUUCUACAAAGGGGAAUAUUCCAUAUCCAAACAGUCUUGUGCGAAGCACCUCCCUUGGCCACCACAUGUCUUUCUUGCGAGUCGAAACAAACAACCCAAGAAACAUGUUCUACAUGGUGUCAUCACCAGCUCAAAUAUCAAAGUAAAGUUUCACUCUUUUACCAUUAUCAAUUGCCCGAAUGAAACCAUCCAUAGGGCCACCAAGUUGCCUCUGAGGUUGGAAGGUAGUCUCCAAAAUACCCUUUCAAAUGCUGGAAGCAUGAAUGGGAAUGGUCAUGAAGGGCAAGAGUUUCAUGGGAUACAGUAGAGAGCUUUAAUAAUCUUCUUCCACAAGAUCAUUACCUUUGUCAACUUCCACAUCCCUUUCAUGAGAAUGGUAGAAUUUAUAUAUGAAGAUUAUGGAGACCAAGCCCACUCCCUUUUGGCGGCAGCCAUACCAUUCAACUAACUCGCCUCAAUAGUCCCACAUAAAAAUCCUCCACAAUCAACUUUUAACAGUCAUAGCUAUCCACAUAAUCAUAGUGAUUCUAUCAGCACUCGACAAGAAUAUUGUCACAGAUGCCUUUAUAGACAAGAAAUAUGCUAGGCAUCAGCCAACUAAUUAGCCAAUUAGUGUGUAAUUCUGACCCGCUAUUUUGAUUGUGAUUGUCUUUAAGUCUGGCCAGCUAUUUUUUAUUUUUAUGGUCUUUAAUUCUAGUCAGCUAUUUUAAAUUUUUAUUGCCUUUAUAGUUUCCUAAAUUUUGGGAAGUCUAUUUUUACUAUGAUUCUACCAUUAUAAUUUUCCUAUUAUCGUAAUAGAGGUCUCUUUUUAAAGAGACAGAUUGAAUAAAAUAAAAUUAAGUCUUAUUUUCCCAAACAAUAGAGAUUUGGAAUUCUCUCACUCAACAAAUUCCAGAGAUUGCAAUUCCUUCCAACAUAUUGCAUUCUCCAACAACCACAGGAAAAUCACGUAACAGAAACAAGGGCAAAUACCUGUUAUUUGUUAGUGAUUUCCCAAUCAAUCACCCAAUGACUCGAUCUUAUUCUCGAAACCAUCACAAUUUGGUAUCAAAGCAUGUCACCAUGAGUGCAGUGGACAUAGUUGAUGAAGUGAAGGCCUCGAUCGAAGAGGCAACAAUGGCAGCAGAGUCUUGUAUGAUGGCCCAGUUCCAGCUGUUCACGCUGCAAAUUCAGGAGCUUCUACAUGAUCCUACUCGCAUCCCCAGGGAG